rnacentral:rRNA from 1 species
AGGAGAGUUUGAUCCUGGCUCAGGAUGAACGCUAGCGGCAGGCUUAACACAUGCAAGUCGAGGGGCAGCGGGUGUAGCAAUACAUGCCGGCGACCGGCGCAAGGGUGCGUAACGCGUGAGCAAUCUGCCCGUAUCAGGGGGAUAAGCGAUGGAAACGUCGUCUAAUACCGCAUAACACCAAUGAUGGCAUCAUCGAUGGUUGAAAGCUUCGGUGGAUACGGAUGAGCUCGCGAGACAUUAGUUAGUUGGCGGGGUAACGGCCCACCAAGACCGCGAUGUCUAGGGGAACUGAGAGGUUGGUCCCCCACACUGGAACUGAGACACGGUCCAGACUCCUACGGGAGGCAGCAGUGAGGAAUAUUGGACAAUGGCCGGAAGGCUGAUCCAGCCAUGCCGCGUGAAGGAAUAAGGUCCUAUGGAUUGUAAACUUCUUUUGUACGAUACUGUCACGAGUGACACGAUGAGAGUAUCGUACGAAUAAGCAUCGGCUAACUCCGUGCCAGCAGCCGCGGUAAUACGGAGGAUGCGAGCGUUAUCCGGAUUUAUUGGGUUUAAAGGGUGCGUAGGCGGGAUUUUAAGUCAGCGGUGAAACGCAAGGGCUCAACCCUUGACCUGCCGUUGAAACUGGAGUUCUUGAAUGCGGAUGCUGUGGGAGGAAUGUGUGGUGUAGCGGUGAAAUGCAUAGAUAUCACACAGAACACCGAUUGCGAAGGCAUCUCACAAAUCCGUGAUUGACGCUGAGGCACGAAAGUGUGGGGAUCAAACAGGAUUAGAUACCCUGGUAGUCCCCU